rnacentral:rRNA from 1 species
UACGUAGGGUGCAAGCGUUGAUCCGGAAUUAUUGGGCGUAAAGAGCUCGUAGGCGGUUUGUCGCGUCUGCUGUGAAAACCCGAGGCUCAACCUCGGGCCUGCAGUGGGUACGGGCAGACUAGAGUGCGGUAGGGGAGAUUGGAAUUCCUGGUGUAGCGGUGGAAUGCGCAGAUAUCAGGAGGAACACCAGUGGCGAAGGCGGAUCUCUGGGCCGUAACUGACGCUGAGGAGCGAAAGCUGGGGAGCGAACAGG